CCUUGGUCCUCCACUUUCUAAGUUGCCAAGCCAGCCUGUCACAACUUUCAUAGAAAGCCUUCAUCGAUGGACGUAGUUCGGUUUCGGUAUAUGUCUCCAUCUCUAGGCGAGCUUCCUCAAAGAUUUCCAGCCAACCGUCUGUAAAGUCCCCCAGACCAUGGACUAUUUGUCUACACCUUCCUUCCCACACCUCCUUGUCCUUCUUAGACCUCUGGAGCGCGACAUCCACAUUUUGUGACCAUUCUUGUCGUUCUGUCAUUAACGAAUUGUAUGCCCUUUCCAACUUCCCCAACUUUUCAGUUAACAUGAUUUUGUCGUGACUAACCUUAUCUAAUGCAUGACGGUGAGCCAUUCCAAUCUCCUCUAACAUGGCCUUUAAUUGGUCUUCCCUUUGAAAGGUUUUUUCUAGUGCAAUCUGAUAUUCUCUUACAGUGGUCCAUGCUUCGCCCUCUUCGUUUAAGCCUUUUUUGGCGAAAGUUUGUAAAUUGUCUACUUUCGCCUCUAGGGUAUGGAUAUCCUUUUGUGCAGUGCGCAGGGCGCGUCCUCGGGCUUUCAAUUGGCUACUCAUGUCGUCUAUCUUUUCUUCUUUUUCUCUUACAAGUUGGCUUAGUUCGUCUAUUUUCUUAUCUUUUUCUUUCCCCGCCCUAAUCAAACGAUAUUUAUCUGAAGUCGAGCACAUGGUGGCA
rnacentral:lncRNA from 1 species